ensembl:lncRNA
GCAGGGAGAGCUGAGCGGAGAGGCGAGAUGGGUGGCUGUCGCCGCUCCUGCUUCUCCUCGCCGCCUCUUCGGCCGCCCUUCUGGCCACCGGCGCCCAUUCUUCCUGACCCGGGCCUCUGGCCCAUACCGUGUACUCCACGUUCAUGUUCGAGGCCACUUUGGCUCCGCUAGGUGGGCUUGCGAGUCCGCGCACCCGCACGCGGCGCCUGGCGCACCCGCUUCGGCGGACGGAGCUGGCCCGACUCCUCGCCUUGGUGUUCCCCUCCCGCAGCAGGAGAUCGGGGGCGCCGAGAACCGGAACGCAGGGGACCCUCAGGCCUCCGGGGCCGCACACCGGCUCCGCACACGCCAGCGUAGCGCCCCCGAAACGCGCCUGGCCUCCAGCUCAGCGCUGAGCAGAGGGCGGCCUCGAACCCGGACUUGGACACUUGUAAACCUUGGAGCAGCAUCGCACGUCGUGUUCCACGAACGACUGUUGCUGACUCAUAGGGAGAUUUCCCGGGAUUCCUGCCCAGGGCCAGCAAACCUCUCAGUGGGCUCCCCGCAGAGUCCAGGGCAGCCACAGACCAGGGGUCACAGGCUCUUGUGUGGUCACCCACCUAGGCACCUUAAAACCAAGGUCCCCUUGGACUCCAGGCCCGGCAAAGUCUCCUCCCAGGACAAGGGGCCACCUUCAUAUGCAGCUGAGAGCGCCCUGCGGACCCCUGCCCGCUGCCCACCAAGCUGCCUGCAGUUGAGGCCCCUCUCAGCCAAGGGCCAUCCAGCAGGAGCAGACAGAAGCCCACAGACCCUCAUCUUCUCAUGGACCAUGAAGCUGGGGUCUGCGCCGAGCACUCCCUGGUCAGCAGAGAGCAGCAGUCCCCUCACAUUAAGGGCCCCCCGAAACUCCAUCUGCCUGCACGGCCUCCUUCCAACCUCUCUGCACCUGGCAAUGCCUUUGGCGGGGGGCUGCCCCUGGCCUGCCCUCAGAAUGCCACGUGCGCUCGCCCACCUGUAUUCUCCAGCCCCUUUGUUCCCAAGAUGGGCUCCCCACUCAGCCAAGGGAAACCUCCCUCUCGCAGAGAGGCCCACCUGCAUCUCCACAGCCCUGCAGACCCUCCCUCCAGGCCUUCCAACACUGACCCUUCACCCCCUCAAGGGCAGCGGCUAGCCCCCUGGCAAUCCGAAAUGCUGAAGUGGGGAGCAAAGCUAGCUCUGGCAGAAGGAAGACAACAGAAACAGGAUGCACUUACAAGCAGUUGCUGGGCCACGUCGCAUUAGGGCUCCCAGGGAGAAAAAUGCCAACUUCGGCCCCUAGGCCCGGGAUCCAGGUCCUCACCCAGUCGGGAGCAAUCCGAGACCACUGGCCUAGGCAGGCCUCGGCCUUCCACCGUGGGGGCUGGGUAGGCGGCUGUCUGUGCAGACGUUGGUGGUGGCUGCGUCCCUGGGAGACAGGCUCGGGAAAGCCAGCACCUCGUGGCCGGAGCUUGGAGCCGUGCAGGGUGUAGUCCCCUGGUGGGUCUCUGCCGAGGCGCUGAUGGGCCGCGGGCCUGGAGACCUCUGGCCUAGGACCAGGUUUAGCCGGCUCUUCUGGUGCUGUGUCACCUGGGGUGUCUUGGUUUUCUGGAGAGUUCUCUCCAGCGGGUGAGAGGGAUUCCCUGCCUUAGAACAGGAGGAGCUGGAAGAGCUGCCGAACUGGACUGAAACUCAUGGAUAAAGCUUUGUAUGAGUUUGACAGGAAACUUAAAUCUGCGAAGACAGCUUUUCACAGAAAGAGGGACAUUAUUAAAAUCUGUCCAGGGAAGUGUCUGAACUGAAGGAAUUGCUCAGAAUGUCUGAAGAAAACAACCAAAGGUGGAAACAUCUGUUUCAGCUGUUCCGGGAAGGACAGGUGUCCCUGCACGUGGCUGACGCUGAGCAGGGCACCCGUGGCCAUGUCCCAGGAGAGCCCCAGGCCCCACGCACAGAGAACUUGUUGGCUGAGCUGGGG